CUACGGGGGGCACCAGUGGGGAAUAUUGCACAAUGGAGGAAACUCUGAUGCAGCAACGCCGCGUGGAGGAUGACACUUUUCGGAGCGUAAACUCCUUUUAUAUAGGAAGAUAAUGACGGUACUAUAUGAAUAAGCACCGGCUAACUCCGUGCCAGCAGCCGCGGUAAUACGGAGGGUGCAAGCGUUACUCGGAAUCACUGGGCGUAAAGAGCGUGUAGGCGGGUUAAUAAGUCAGAAGUGAAAUCCUAUGGCUCAACCAUAGAACUGCUUUUGAAACUGUUAACCUAGAGUGUGGGAGAGGUAGAUGGAAUUUCUGGUGUAGGGGUAAAAUCCGUAGAGAUCAGAAGGAAUACCGAUUGCGAAGGCGAUCUGCUGGAACAUAACUGACGCUGAGACGCGAAAGCGUGGGGAGCAAACAGGAUUAGAUACCCGCGUAGUC
rnacentral:rRNA from 1 species